GCAGCAGUAGGGAAUCUUCCACAAUGGACGAAAGUCUGAUGGAGCAACGCCGCGUGAGUGAAGAAGGGUUUCGGCUCGUAAAACUCUGUUGUUAAAGAAGAACAUAUCUGAGAGUAACUGUUCAGGUAUUGACGGUAUUUAACCAGAAAGCCACGGCUAACUACGUGCCAGCAGCCGCGGUAAUACGUAGGUGGCAAGCGUUGUCCGGAUUUAUUGGGCGUAAAGCGAGCGCAGGCGGUUUUUUAAGUCUGAUGUGAAAGCCUUCGGCUCAACCGAAGAAGUGCAUCGGAAACUGGGAAACUUGAGUGCAGAAGAGGACAGUGGAACUCCAUGUGUAGCGGUGAAAUGCGUAGAUAUAUGGAAGAACACCAGUGGCGAAGGCGGCUGUCUGGUCUGUAACUGACGCUGAGGCUCGAAAGUAUGGGUAGCAAACAGGAUUAGAUACCCUGGUAGUCCAUACCGUAAACGAUGAAUGCUAAGUGUUGGAGGGUUUCCGCCCUUCAGUGCUGCAGCUAACGCAUUAAGCAUUCCGCCUGGGGAGUACGGCCGCAAGGCUGAAACUCAAAGGAAUUGACGGGGGCCCGCACAAGC
rnacentral:rRNA from 1 species